GGUUGUGGCUCAGUGGUAGAGCGCUUGCCUAGCACACAUGAGGCAUUGAGUUCAAUUCUCAGCACCA
rnacentral:tRNA from 1 species